UGACACCGGAUGGAGGACUUGGGUGU
rnacentral:piRNA from 1 species